GCUCUUUUCAGAAACUAAAGCAACUUAUAGGGAAGAAGAACAAACCAGUCUCAUAAAAGAUGGUGAAAAUCGGAGGGAGACGUCAGGGCCAGGGACAGAGAGGUCUCCAAGUAUUCUUUCAAUUUGCCGGGCAGUGCGGACCCACGUUUCAGUUUAUGUCAUCUUCUUCCCACAGCCUCCUGUGUUCUGGGGACCACACCUCACUACAAUCACCAGUGACGAAGCAAACUACACUGACCUGUGUGACACAGCCAGGACUAUGGCAUAGGAGCUCUACAGACACAGACCUAGGAGCCACGCGGGCGGGCGUCACCCGUGUGCAUGGGCACCGUCGGCCCACAGUGCUGGCUGCCGCGAUGCCACCGUCAGGAAGAACAAAACUCGAAGUGGGGCGGGAGGCCUCCUCCGAAACCGCAGGCUAA
rnacentral:lncRNA from 1 species